CCCGCGCCCCCCCCCCCCACCACGGCGCGGCCUGCGGGAGGUUCUCCCGCUCCUCCCCGCGGGGCUCCGCCAGGGCCGCACGGGGUGCUUGGCCCGGGUGUCUCGGCGGCGAGACAAAGGCCGAGCCGCUGCCUUCUCCCGGGUGCGAGAGCGGCCGCCUGUUGAGGUGCUGGCGGGGCCGGGGUAGGCACCGGGCGGCGGCAUCAGACGUCGAGAUUUGUUUCGCCCUACGCCGGGAAAAAGCUAAACAUCAAAAUAGCAACAGACCGUUUGGAGCUUUGUCCAUUAGAAUUUGCAAAACUGAAAGUUUUCAAACGAGAUCUAAACGUUAGUAAUGUCUGUAGGCUCAUCUCCCCUUUAAAUGUAGUUUCAUCAGCGUGUCGUGAAUAACCAGAGACCAGAUCACAGAACUUCAGACUGAAACCAAGAAGACUCUGAACAGCAUGAUGAUCAAGCAAAAAAGGGAAAAGGGAGAGCAGAGGAAAGAAGAGGAGAAAAAAGCAGAGAAAUAGAAAAAGAAGAGCCUUCCUGUUUUCAAGAUGGAUUUCAGUAAGAUAGUAUAAAAUGUUGCACCUGCAAUAACA